AUCCUUUUAAACUCAUAAACAUGAUAAUUGGUGUUCACACAGUUAUGUGAGAUCUUCCUCCCUCUAAACCUUGUUAUGAUGUUGGCACAAGUACCCAUCUGAUG
ensembl:snoRNA